ACGUAGGGGGCGAGCGUUAUUCGGAAUUACUGGGUGUAAAGGGUAUGUAGGCGGCCCUUCAAGUCGCGUGUCAAAGUCCAGUGCUCAACGCUGGGUGUGCGCGCGAUACUGACGGGCUUGAGGGCUGGAGAGGUGAGCGGAAUUCCCGGUGUAGUGGUAAAAUACGUAGUGAUCGGGGGGAACACAAGCGGCGCAGGCGGCUAACUAGGCAGUUUCUGACGCUAAGUUACGAAAGCGUGGGGAGGAAAGAG
rnacentral:rRNA from 1 species